GCUGUGUGACCCGCGGGUGCCCAGCCUGUGGGGCUUCCUCAUCGCCGCCAUCCAGGCAGAUCGAGUGCCGGCUCUCUGUGCUCUCCAGGAGGUGGCCUUUCACAGCAGGGACGUUCUGUGCUCUUAUUUUAACAACUUUGUCGCCGUGAUCCUGAAGGCACUGACCUACGACGAGAAGCGGGGUGCCUGCAGCGUGGGCACCAACGUCAGGGACGCCGCCUGUUACGUGUGCUGGGCCUUCGCGCGUGCCUACGAGCCUCAGGAGCUGAAGCCCUUUGUGACUGCAAUCUCGAGUGCACUGGUGAUCGCUGCGGUGUUCGACCGAGACAUCAACUGCAGAAGAGCAGCCUCUUCUUCCCGAGGCUGCUGUCCAUGACACUGAGUCCAGAUCUUCACACGAGGCAUGGGUCGAUUCUCGCCUGCGCAGAAGUUGCUUACGCCUUGUACAAACUUGCAGCCCAAGAGAACAGGCCCGUCACGGACCAUCUGGACGAGCAGGCAGUGCAGGGCCUGAAGCAGAUUCACCAGCAGCUCUAUGAUCGUCAGUUAUACAGGGGUCUGGGAGGACAGCUCAUGAGACAAGCAG
rnacentral:sRNA from 1 species